UACGAAGGGGGCGAGCGUUGUUCGGAAUUACUGGGCGUAAAGGGUGCGCAGGCGGCUCUGAAAGUCAGAUGUGAAAGCCCCGGGCUUAACCUGGGAAUUGCAUUUGAUACUCUGGAGCUUGAGUACGGGAGAGGAGAGUGGAAUUCCCAGUGUAGAGGUGAAAUUCGUAGAUAUUGGGAAGAACACCGGUGGCGAAGGCGGCUCUCUGGACCGUAACUGACGCUGAGGCGCGAAAGCGUGGGGAGCAAACAGG
rnacentral:rRNA from 1 species